rnacentral:misc_RNA from 1 species
UUUUUUUUCUUACCCAAAAAAAUUAUAUUGCAACAUACUUGAUCCAGUUCUGCUCACGACAACCACAUGAUCCAAGUAAAAUAAGAAAAUACUAGCUCAAUCGAGCUUCACUAUCUUAUCUUCUUCCUGCUGCUUGUCUGGCUCUGCAGGGAAGUAUUUUAUACCCACAAGAUCACCUACUUGGUCAAAAACUUUCAAUGCUUUAACCAGGUCUUCCUUGGUAUGAGAAGCAGAUAUACACACACGUACCCUAGCCAACAAUAGUGGGGUUGCUGGGAAAGCCACCAUCACAACUGCAACAUUCUGCUUCAGGCACUCCCUUGAGAAGGCAGGAAUUUUAGCUGGAUUGUAAAGCAUAAUUGGCACUACAGGAGAGUCAUCGUCUCCAAUAACCUCAAACCCCAUUUUUUGCAAUUCUGACCUAAAAAAGUUGCUGUUCUCACGGAUUUGUGCAAGCUUCUGGGGACCUCUAUUGGAACCAUCCUUCCCAAGAAUAACCUUUAUGGAAGAUUUUACUUGUUCUGCAGCUGGCGGUGAGAUUGAUGUUGCAUAUAGGUGAGCUGGGCAUGUAUACUUCAAGUAUUGAAUAAGCUCCUUUGAUCCAGCGAUAUAUCCACCACAUGAUCCAAAUGAUUUAGUAAAAGUUCCCAUCAUGAUGUCCACAUCAGCAGUAUCCACUCCUAGGAGCUCACAGACGCCUUUUCCUGUUUUCCCUACUGCUCCAAUGCUAUGGGCCUCAUCCAAGUAAAUAUAAGCCUUAUAUUUUUUGCAGAUCGCAAUAAUCUCAGGAAGCUUGCAAAGAUCCCCUUCCAUGCUGUAUAUCCCCUCCACAAUUACCAUUAUUUUCUUCCAAGGUCUGUGAGUCCUAGGUUGUCCCUCUGCAAGUUGUUCUCUCAAGACUUCCUCCAAAUGAGAGGGUGUAUUAUGUUGGAAAACACGAAUAGUAGCUCCAGACCCACGUGCACCAUUUACAAUAGAGUUGUGGUUCAAGGAGUCACUGAUAAUCAAACCACCCUUCCCAAUCAGGACUGGAAGGAUAGCAGAGUUUGUAACAUAGCCCAUUCCAAAAACUAUAGCCGCUGGUUUUCCAACAAAGUCGGCAACACACUUCUCCAAUUCAUUAUGCAAUGCCGUUGUGCCCGCAUCCACCCGGCUACUACAAGUGCUAGGAGAAUAUUUCCUUAAUGACUCAAUUACUCGAGGAGUGCAAUACUCAUCUGCUGCAGCAAAUCCCAGAUAGUUGUAUGACCCCAAGUUAAGGCAUCUACUAAUAUUUGUGGUUCGUUUUAGUGUCUUAUUAUUGUCAUUUGAGUAACGCUCAACCACAUCAAACCAAGCGUCAGGAGCACUAGUAAUCGGUCUCCCAAAACAAUCCUGAAUACGGAGAUACAAACGGCGUACAUAGAAAUCUUCAUGUGCCACACAGAUUGGAGCAUAACCCUGAAGAUUGUUAGAGCCACUCCAGUUGAGAAUUUUGCGAAAGAAAUCUCUGAUUUGACCAAAAGCAAACAAUAAUCCAUAGCUAAAGUACGUUGUUAACGCUGCUAAGUAGGGAAUUGCAAUCAUUUUUUUUUUUG